rnacentral:rRNA from 1 species
UGGAGCCUACGGGGGGCAGCAGUGGGGGAUAUUGCACAAUGGGGGGAACCCUGAUGCAGCGACGCCGCGUGGGUGAAGAAGCCCCUCGGCGCGUAAAGCCCUGUCGGCAGGGAAGAAAAUGCCGGUACUUGAAGAAGAAGCCCCGGCUAACUACGUGCCAGCAGCCGCGGUAAUACGUAGGGGGCAGGCGUUAUCCGGCUUUCCUGGGUGUAAAGGGGGCGCAGACGGCGAUGCAAGCCAGGAGGGAACGCCCGGGGCCAAACCCCGGGACUGCUCUUG